UGUAAAUGUAAAUAUUUUUAUUAAAAAAGAAUUGGAAGGCAUAGAAACCAAAGCCACUUCUGUGGCUGACCUAAAAGAAACUAUUUACAGUGCUGGGGUGGGGCUGGCCUGGGCAGGGCAUGGGCCUUGGCUUUCUUAGCACUCAUUGUCCUGACAACCCCCCCCCCCCCCGCACUCCCACCCCUGGGGAGCAAAGACAAGCACAGAACUGGCUGGGAGGAUGGAGGAGACGCCGCCGUUACAGCAGUCAGGGGGCAAGAGGACGCAUCCAGGGAGGCCAGGCUGGAAAGGCACCGGCAAAGGAGCAGCCCAACCCCAGGCAGAGGUGGAGAUGCUGUUGUUAGAAGCCAGAGAAAGAGCCCAGUGCGAAGGCCCACAGGACACGGAUGGGGCAAAGGCUUCUACUAGGCCCACCGAAGCUGGCUGAGCAGCUCCCAGGCGAGCGGAGUCCGUGCACCGGUGUCCAGCCUGCGUAGGGCGGGAACUGCGGCCAGCGCAGUUGGCUUGUCCUGAGCCGCCUGCCCUUCUUCUCGGGCACUUUCAGCUGCAAGGAUCGAACUCAGGACCUUGCAUAUGCCAGGCAGGCACAACGCCGCUGAGCUACAUCCCCGGCCUGAGGUACACUUUUAGAUACGUUGGCCGUGCUGAAUUACAGUACCUUUUCUCUCUCUCUUUUUUCCUAUUGUGCAUCUUUUAUGUUGCACUUUAUUGUUUGUUUUUUUGUUUUUGGUACCGGGGAUCAAACUCGGGACCUUGAGCUUGUGUGGAAGGUGCCAGAACCACUGAGCUAAAUCCCCAGCCCUAUUUUGCACUUUAUUUCUACAUCGAGUUUCUCACAGAAGAGAAACCAUUUGAUAUUUAAACUGUGUGUCUGAUUUGCUUCACUUAACAUUAUGGUCUCAAGGUGCGUCCGUUUUGCUACAAAUGACUUGAGUUUAUUCUUAUUGGGCUUAGAUUUUCUUUAAAAUUCUUGUAGAAUUUGGCAGUGAAAUUUUUAGGACCUGGGCUUUUUUUAGUUGAUAGUUUUAAAAAUUAUUUCAAUCUCAUUGACUGAUACAGUAUUAGUCAGGAUUUUUAUAUCUUCCUGGCUCAGGUUUUGUAGUUCAUAUGUACCUAGGAAUGUCCCCAUUUCUUCUGAAUUUUCACUUUUAUUAGGGUAUCGAUUGUCGGAGUAGUUACCAAUGACCUUCUGGGUUUCAGAAGAAUAUGUUGUGAUUUCACUUUUUUCAUUUCUAAUUGCAUGGAUUUGGGUCUUAUUUUGUGAAGAUUGGCUAAGCAUCUGUCUAUUUUGUUUAUUCUUUCAAAGAAUCCAAUUCUGACUCAUUGAUUGUUUUUUUUGGUAUUGUUUUUGUCCUAAUUUUAUUAGUUUCUGCUCUGAUCCUUGUAAUUUCCUUCCUUGUACUGGCUUUGGAUUUGGAUUGUUCUUGUUUUUCUAGGACCUUGAGGUGCAGCACUGGCUAUUUAUUUGAGCUCACUGUCUUCUGACGUGGGGAUUCACUGCUAUAAACUUCCCUCUUAGGACAGCUUUCGUUGUGUCUCAUAGGUUCUGGAAUGUUGUACUGGCAUUAUUGUUUGUUUAUAGGAACUAAUUUCUUCAUUAAUUUCAUCCAAAACCAUUGAUUAUUCAAGAAGGGAUUGUUUAAUAUCCAUGUAUUUGCAUAGUUUAUGUGAUUUCUUUUGCCACUGAUUUCUAGUUCCAUUGCACUGUGAUCUGAUAAUAUGCAUGGGAUAAUUACUUAAGCAUGCUGUAUGGGCUAGUUUAUGACCUAUUUUGGAGAAAGUCCCAUGUGGUGUUGAGAAGAAUGUGCAUUCUGGUGUUCUUGGAUGGAACCCUCUGUAGAUAUCUAUUAAGUCCAUUUGUUUGAAGAUUUGGUUGAACUCUGAUAUUUCCUUGUUGAUUUUUUGUCUAGUUUAUCUCUUUUUUUGUGAUAGUAGGGUACUGGGGUCCCCCAUAACAAUAUAACAAUUGUAUUUGUGUUUAUCUGAUUUUUCAUGUCCAUUGGUGUUUGUUUUAUAAAGUUGGGGGUGCUGGUAUUUGAGA
rnacentral:lncRNA from 1 species